GCCCAGGUGCAGAAAUUGGUAGACUGGCAGCGUUGAGGUCGCUGUGUUCGUUUAGGACGUGCGGGUUCGAGUCCCGCCCUGGGCACCA
rnacentral:tRNA from 1 species